AUGAUUCACAACUCUAGCCACAGCAAAGUCCUGGCCUAUGUGGGUAAGAUCCUGAGGAGGCAGGAGAGGGACAGGGAAGGAGUAUGGGUAGGGGCAGGAGGAGCCCUGGCCCCCAAUACCUCCUCCCCUUUCCUCCUGGAGUCUCCAAGAGGUCUCAGGCAGCAUCAUCCCAGUCUACUGUACCCUUCUGGCCACUGUGGUCCUCGGUCUGCUUGCCUACAUGGCCUUCAAGUGCUGGCGCUCACAUAAACAAAGACAGCAGCUGGCCAAAGCUCGAACUGCAGAGCUGGGAGGUCUCAACAAGGACCAGAUGCAUGGGGAUAGCAGUGUCUUCCUGGACUCUCCUAGCAGUCUGGAGCCCUGUGCCCCCAGCCAGGGACCACAUCCUGAGCUUGGGUGCCGACUUCACCUUGAUCUCCCUCGGCAGCACCAGGAGAAAGUGGAGCGGCUGUUAGAGGUGUCACGUGAACCUGACAAGGGCUGGCGGGGACUGGCAGACCAUCUGGGCUACCAAGCUGAGGCUGUAGAAAUCAUGGCCCAAGGCCAGGUGUGAGCCUACACACUGCUGAGGGACUGGGCUAUCCAAGAAGACAGUGGUGCCACCCACAAGGUGCUAGAGAAUGCCCUGGUUGCCAUGGGCCAGGAAGAUGUGGUCCAGGUCCUGGGCCCCCAAGCUGAGGGCUGUUCUGUGGUGUGAGUGCUGUCUCCAUAGCCUGCACUCUCGGAGACUGCUCCGGUGCUCCCCUACCCCCAUCUCAUAUAUCUUUCCCUUUGUGGGCUUCCUGGGGUUGCUGGGCUCAGCCUGCUCUGUUCUGGGGAAGAAAACCGAAGAUCCAGCCACCAUUCACUUCCCCUUAUCCACCCAUCCCCUCCAGAAGAGGGCCCAGGAUAUGGUGGGGAGUGGGCAGUGAGGAGUGGUUCUGCCCUUUGGAUCCCUACUCCACCUCCUCUUAUUAAGCCUCAGCUGGUUUUGCUACUUUUGUAACCCAUAUUAAAGGUGAUUCGGACUUUU